AUAUAAAAAGAAUUUUUUGUUAGUUGUGGACUGUAAAUCCAUGUCCAUCCAUAAGUUUUCAACAUCUACUUUUACCUCAGUCCCAAAAUAAGUGGGUGUUUAAUUGGGGGUGUUAAAGGUUAACAGACACUGUAGCAUUUUUGUUUUAUUUGGCAAUUAGUGUCCAAUCAUAAACUAACCAGGCUUAAAAGUUUCGUCCCGCAAAUUACUCUGUAGCUGUGUUUUUAGUUUUAUAAAUAGUUUAUAUUUAAUACUUCAUGCAUGUGUCAAUUAUUCGAUACGACAUGAAUUAAACUUUAUCGGAGAAAAACAAACGAGGCCUAAACGUAGUUCUUCUCAGCGUUCAGUUUUUUUUUUUUUUGCCGUAGUUCGUGAUUUUUGGUGUUUCUAGAGAUGAGUCAAAAUGUGUUUAUCAUUUAAAAUAACAAUAUUUUAAGGUUUAAUAGAAUUUUUGUUAACUAAAGUACACAAGUUAGCAUAUUUUUUACAAGUACACAAUUAUAUUAAAAAUGUUAAAGUUCAUUGCAAGGAUAAUAAAUCCCAAGAAACACAUAUAUAUGCAGCUCCAUAGCUACGAGUGAAAAGUCAGCGUAGCGACUCAAACAAGUGUGCGAAUCGUCAACGAGGAGCUAGUGCGGGCGCGUGCUUUUGACAGCGGCAAGUGUGUGAAUCCUGCUGUCGGUCUAAUCGGCGGCUGUGUAGCGACUCUUUGACGUCGGCUUUGUUUAGUUCCGAAAAAUUUUGGAAAAUGGACACCGUAGCAUUUGACAAAUAUUGUCCAAUUAUGGAUUAACUAGACUCAAAAGAUUCGUCUAGUCAAUUUCGACUAAACUGUGCAAUUAGUUUUUAUUUUCGUCUAUAUUUAAUACUCCAUGCAUGUGUCUAAAGAUUCGAUGUGACGGGGAAUGUAAAAAAUUUUGCAAAAUUUUGGCCGUACAUCACGUUUCACAGGCGCGCGCGAUGGCGGUGGUGACCAGAUGCGGAGGCUGCUCGUGCGCACCCCAUGCUUUCCGCGAUUUUUUUUUCCUUUCCCGCGUGGGUUGUGUUCGAGGCAAGAUCCGAAAAGAUUUUAGAUUUCGCUAUUGUAUCACUUUCGUUUAUUUGUGGUAAAUAUUGGUCAAUUAUAGACUAACUAGGAUCAAAAGAUUCGUCUCACGAUUUACAGAUAAACUAUACAGUUAAUUUUUUUUCGUUUAUAUUUAAUGCUUCGUGUAUGUGUCAAAAGAUUCGAUGUGACGAUGAAUCUUGAAAUUUUUUUGAUUUUUGGAUGAAGACCCAGAUGUCAACUAUCGAGAAAUCUGCAGAAGCCGAAGCAUCUGUCGUCCUGCUCAUGCAGCAGAUUGGCGGCCAUGCCCCCAUGCUGGAGUGGAGAUGAUCACACGCCGAUUCUCACUCCAUGUUCUUGCA
rnacentral:lncRNA from 1 species